AAUGAACGCUGGCGGCAGGCCUAAAACAUGCAAGUCGAACGCCCUAGCAAUAGGGAGUGGCGCACGGGUGAGUAACAUGUGGGAAUAUGCCUUUUGGUACGGAACAACGUUUGGAAACGAACGCUAAUACCGUAUGGUCCCUCCGGGGUAAAGAUUUAUCGCCAAAAGAUUAGCCCGCACUAGAUUAGCUAGUUGGUAAGGUAAUGGCUUACCAAGGCGACGAUCUAUAGCUGUUCUGAGAGGAAGAUCAGCCACACUGGGACUGAGACACGGCCCAGACUCCUACGGGAGGCAGCAGUUAGGAAUAUUGGACAAUGGGCGCAAGCCUGAUCCAGCCAUGCCGCGUGAGUGAUGAAGGCCUUCGGGUUGUAAAGCUCUUUAGUCCACGAAUAUAAUGGCUGUAGUGGAAGAAUAAGCCCCGGCUAACUUCGUGCCAGCAGCCGCAGUAACAC
rnacentral:rRNA from 1 species